UUUAAUAUGGCAGAUCAGUGCUAUAGACUUAAACUCUAUAUAGAAAAAAUUAAAAUUUUUUUAUUAAAU
rnacentral:tRNA from 1 species